UGUGAGCGUAUACCAAAGUUGUUGCAGUUAAAACGCUCGUAGUCGAAUUUUGGUGUGAGUUAUGGAGACUCCUACUGGAUGUUGAAGUAACUUCGCCUUUGUGGAGGGGGGUGUGGUGGUACUUUAUUGUAUUGCUGCAUUUCCGCCACUGUUUACUGUGAAAAAAUUAGAGUGUUCAAAGCGAGCGUUUGCCAUGAAUACAUUAGCAUGGAAUAAUAGAAUAGGACCUGGUUCUGUUUUAUUGGUUUGUCUGUAUCAGGUAAUGAUUAACAGGGACGGUCGGGGGUAUUUGUAUUCCAGCGUUAGAGGUGAAAUUCUUGGAUCGCUGGAAGACAGACAGCUGCGAAAGCGUCUACCAAGGACGUUUUCAUUGA
rnacentral:rRNA from 1 species